GUUACCAUCUGAAUGAUUUCACUUAGAACGGUACCAUCUGGAUGAUUUCACUUAGAACGGUACCAUCUGGAUGAUUUCACUUAGAUCAGUACCAUCUGAAUGAUUUCACUUAGAAUGGUACCAUCUGGACUAUUUUACUUAGAAUGGUACCAUCUGGACUAUUUUACUUAGAAUGGUACCAUCUCAAUGAUUUCACUUAGACGGUGAUGUAUCUCACCACCCCCAAACUAGGUCACAUCUCAGUCCCAUAAGUAUUGGAAGACACUUGCUCACAAAAUCAUUGUUGUUUGGUCUGUGUGUGUGAUCCAUUGUAUCGGGCUUCACACUAUCAUUCAACAAACAUGGGGUUGUCUAUCACAUGAUUGUAUCACAUGUUAGUCAUGUGACACAAAGUCACAUGACCUUCCUGCAUCCAUGGCCAAUGGUUAUCUGGGAUGAACAAAUCUGAACUGUACCCUAUGUCUACAGUGCUUUCAGGUCAAGAGGUACGGACAGGGAUACAAGUGUUACUAAUGGGUAAUAACGUUUUUACUUUUAACAGAAACAGUACGCAGUAAGAGGGACAACUUAUGAUGCAAAGUCAUGGUCAGUGUAUGUACCAGUGAACCUUCCUAAUCAGCAGCGGAUCCGUCACAGAUGAUAUGGCUUUCUGGUCGAAAUAUUGUCACCGAUGUUUGGUCAUAGCUCCAGAACAAUCUAUGUAUGAUUUAACUUAUACAUGUAUUCUUACCACAUUUUUAUCACUUUUUUCAGACACUGUAUGGUCAGAGGUCAAAAUGAAAAUUUUAAAAGUUUUUUUGUUUUUUUUUAAAGAAUUGUAAUUUACAUCAAAUGAAGCAAUAAAAUUUAUAUUGCAGGACAAGUCUUUGGUUACUUCACUUCAUAUUUUGACCGACCUUGAAGUGUUUUGUCAUUACUGAAAUAAAUUAAGAAUUAACAGAUUUGGCAAGAGCAACAAAACCAAUUAAAUCAAUUAUUUUUGUAUUCCUAGAAGUUUGAGUCAGUGGAUUUUUUAAAUCAAGCGAUCGAAGGAAAUAUGCCAGAGAGGAACGUUCACUGUGUACAUACAUUACUGUGAGCUUUGUAAAUAUCACAUGAUGACAUGCCACCAUUGCAGCAGCUUCUGUUUUCCUGAUCAGGACAGUACUUGUGUGUCAUUCAGCUGAAGCUGGUGUUGUGUGGAGGUGUGUUCAGGUGUACUGGAUGUUGCAAUGAUGUUCCUUGGAUCUGAAAGCAUUGUAGGAAUAUCAUCAAGAAAUUACACUAGAAUGUCAUACUAUAUUGUCAGUCCUUGAUGUAGAGUGAUGUCAGACACAUGUCAACACCAUCCUCUAGAUUGUCAUCAGUCUAGAGUUCAGAAGUCAGACACCAUGUCAAAACUAUAGGGCUGUGACGGGUCAGACACCAAGCUGACACCUUAGGGCUGUGACGGGUCAGACACCAAGCUGACACCUUAGGACUGUGACGGGUCAGACACCAUGUCGACACCUUAGGGCUGUGACGGGUCAGACACCAAGCUAACACCAUAGGGCUGUGACGGGUCAGACACCAAGCUGACACUAUAGGGCUGUGACGGGUCAGACACCAAGCUAACACCAUAGGGCUGUGACGGGUCAGACACCAAGCUGACACCUUAGGACUGUGACGGGUCAGACACCAUGUCGACACCUUAGGGCUGUGACGGGUCAGACACCAAGCUAACACCAUAGGGCUGUGACGGGUCAGACACCAUGUCGACACCUUAGGGCUGUGACGGGUCAGACACCAAGCUAACACCAUAGGGCUGUGACGGGUCAGACACCAAGCUGACACCUUAGGACUGUGAGGGGUCAGACACUAUGUCGACACCUUAGGGCUGUGACGGGUCAGACACUAUGUCAACACUAAAGGGCUGUGACGGGUCAGACACCAAGCCCCGUUGAAGGGAGAUAACUCUAACUGAAAGUUGUUGACAAGGACAUUUAACUCUCGUUAGCAGUGUUCAUGGCUUCGUUGGGACGACGAAAUGGAAGAGAAAUGGUCUAGCACAGUAUGGUCACUCUGACACUGAGGCGCCUAAACUGAAAAACAAAAUAUUGUUUAUAGGGCAUUAGGGUUAUGAUGCACAGAAUGUUUAACCAACUCAAUAUUUAAACAUCUUUGUACGAAACACAAAUCGAGGUCAAGUUCUCACGGUCAAGUAAGACACAAUGGACACUUGGUGACUUUGGUACAUUUAAAUGGAAACCACAGGACCGGAAAUCCAAUGAGCUUUCAUCCGAAAAAAAUUGUGGCCGAUGAAUAAGGUGAAAGUAGUAUAACGUCAAUAAUACCUGGGUACUUGAGUCCUAGUCGGGUAUUCUGCCUGUCACAGCCCUACGACACCAUCCUCUAGACUGUUAUCAAUCUAGAGUUCAGAAGUCAUGUUGACACCAACCUUUAGAUUGCCCUCAAUGUAGAGUUCAGGGGUCAGUUCCAUGUUGACACCAACAUUCAGAUUAUCUUCUGUCUAGAGUUAAGUCAGACACUAUGUCAACACUAACCUCACAGGUGUUGUCAAUCUAGACUUAAGUCAGACACCAUGUCGAUACCAAUCUCUAGGGUAUCCUCAAUGUUGAUGUAUUUCGGCCACCAUGUCGACACCAAGCUCUAGGGUAUCUUCAAUCUAGACUUAAGUCAGUCACCAUGUCGACACCAACCUCUAGGGUAUCCUCAAUCUAGACUUAAGUCAGACACCAUGUCGACACCAACUUCUAGGGUAUCUUCAAUCUAGACUUAAGUCAGACACCAUGUCGACACCAACCUCUAGGGUAUCCUCAAUCUAGACUUAA